CAGGGGAUCACGUCCUAUAGUCCAUGCACUGACUAGGACUUGCGAAUUCUUGGGAAUAGUGUAGCCACAGAGUUGAACUUCUUCUUGUACUUGGCGAGGUAUUAAGAAAGGAACCAGUGGGUGUAAUCUUCCGGUCUCUUUCACAAUACAUUGCAAGUAAGGCAACCUAGAUAUGUCCGCUUCUUUUACAAUCUUUCCCUUCCCGACCACUUCGUUCAGCUCAGCUUUCGCCUUCACUAAUAUUGUAUCUGGGUUUUUUAAUAUCUCNUCAACCCAUAUCCAUUAGAAUUAUAGAAUAUUAUGGAUGCACAUUGCCAAGCUCUCUCUGUGACUGAAUAAUGCUCUACCUGGAAUCUAAUUCCUCUAUUUUGUAUAGACCCUUCCGCCAUACAAGAAAUUCACCAGUUGUAAAAUAGUAUAAAAUUGUUUGCACAAACAUUCAAUCGGUUUCUAUCUUUUGAAUUUACAACCAGUUUCUACUUUAUCAUUAAACUUGUGUCCGCUCUUUCUGUUGUGGGGGUGCCUCAGAUGCGAUAGGUGAAAUCACGUGUCUAUCUAUAGUUGGCUGUUAAUUUUAUCCAAGAAAUGAAGGCAAAGCUAUGUAAUUUUGAUCCAAAAUUCCUUCUGAUGCAACAUGCUUUGCCUUCCAAUUUACUGCUUUAACAAGUUAGAUGAAAUAUGAUAUAGUGAUUGAUACUAGUCCUCCCCAAGUGAAAUGACCCUAUCCUAGAUAUUAUUACUCGUUUUCAUGUUUCUUCACCUGGACUAGAAUUAUGCCAUUUUUGUGAGGAGCACAUUAUUUUUUGUCUGAUAUACGUGCAUAUGCAUAUCACAUUUUGGACAAAGCUUUAGCCAGAAGACCAUAUCACAUUAUAAUUUGAAAGAAAUUUUUGGUAGUCCAUGUUUAUUUCAUAUCUUCACAUUUGUCAUUAUCUUGAUACAAUUCUCUACUUGAAAUUCUUCAGGUUCCUGUUUAGAUUUACCGGAAAGGAUGCUGAAAUAAAUCUCUUGGGCGAUGGUACUGAGAAACCUGAGUUUGGAGAAUGGUCAUGGCUGUCACCAGAACAAGUACUUGACCGAGUGGGUUUCACUUCCCCAUAAAAGUUUGAUAAGAAAUUGGGUUUAAAAGUAUUUGUUAAUCGAAUUUACCGUUUACUUUACAUUUUUAUGCAGGCAGUGGAGUUCAAGAAAUCAGUUUACAAGGAAGUUUUGGAAGUUUUCUCCUCUCAUCUCAACUCAAACUUAUGAAGAAGGUUUGAAUCGCUCUAGCUACUUUUGUCCUCUGACUUAAGUUAAUUUCCAUGCCUGCCUUCACCGACUAGUGAUAGCAAUGAAUGUUUGUGUUGUCUUUCACGAGUGAACCCUUGAGCUCAGUUCUACUUGUAAUAGAGCUCGAAAUUAAUACAACCAAUAAGCCAUACCCUUGUCAUGCCAGAUUGUUGUGCAUUUUGUGGAACACCACUUUAUAUUUUGUUUUUAUUUUAUAGUAAAAACAUAUAUUGUUACUUAGCAAACAAAAAUGUUGUUUAUCGAAUUCAGAAUAGUCUCCUUCUACUAUGACAAAAUUUUGCUAUGUUGAUAUCUAAAAAUUAUUAAAAAUAUCUGUUCUGUAUUACUAGCUCAUAAGAAAAACUUUGUAGUCUACAAUAGUUCCAUUUCAGAUUCUAAUACCAAUUGUCAUUUUAUAUGUUGGACUUUGCAACACUAACUUUUAGGUAAAUAAGAGCAUAAUUAUAUUAAAUUAAAUUACAUAUGUAAUUAGUCAUAUGAGAAGAGAAUAUAUAUAUUUAGGUGAUAUAAGAUUUUCGGCUCUCUAUUGUAGUAUUACUUGAAGGCAACAGAUUUAGCCCUAAAAGAAUAAGUUAUACACAGAACGUUAAUGUAUAUAUGUGUAUAUUUAAUGAAAUAGAUUUACAUGUGAGAACUAAAUAGAUAGCUAGCAAUUAUGUGUGUAACAUACAGUAACACAUUCCCUCACCCACCAAAUCCCAAUUUUGGUAGUAUAUACUAGAGCAGGGAUGUUGUCAAAAUAAAUUAACAAAAUCAUUCUCCACCAUUGAACCUUUAUUUAUUAUAUAGAUAUAGAUACAUAAAAGAAGGUACAUAUAUUAUGAGGCUCUCAGCCUCUUAAAAGAGUUGGACAAUGUAAAGGAGCAGAUGAUUCUAAUAUCCUAAAAUUAAUUAGGCAGAACUGAGUUGGUACAGCACGAAGCGGAUGAAGCUUUGCUAGAGUGAUCCCGAACUUCUCCUCCAUGUCCAUUUCCUCUGGUGCAAUCCCACCUUCAAGUUUCCAGUCAAAGCAAUUUAUGAGGGAGCCCAACAUCACUGGCACCAUCCUCAUCGCCAAUGGCAAUCCCGGACAUUUCCUUCGACCUGCACCAAAUGGAAUUAGCUCAUAAAAAUGGCCGUUCAUUUCAACUUCAGAGUCCAGGAACCUCUCCGGUUGGAAUAACAAGGAAUUUUUCCAUAUCAGGGGAUCACGUCCUAUAGUCCAUGCACUGACUAGGACUUGCGAAUUCUUGGGAAUAGUGUAGCCACAGAGUUGAACUUCUUCUUGUACUUGGCGAGGUAUUAAGAAAGGAACCAGUGGGUGUAAUCUUCCGGUCUCUUUCACAAUACAUUGCAAGUAAGGCAACCUAGAUAUGUCCGCUUCUUUUACAAUCUUUCCCUUCCCGAC
rnacentral:lncRNA from 1 species